rnacentral:tRNA from 1 species
GAGUGAUGGCUCAGAAGUAAAGAGCUCUGACUACUUUUCCAGAGGCCCUGGGUUCAAUUCCCAGCACUCA